rnacentral:rRNA from 1 species
CAGCAGCCGCGGGAAUACGUAGGGUGCAAGCGUUAAUCGGAAUUACUGGGCGUAAAGCGUGCGCAGGCGGUUUGUUAAGACAGAUGUGAAAUCCCCGGGCUCAACCUGGGAACUGCAUUUGUGACUGGCAAGCUAGAGUGUGGCAGAGGGGGGUGGAAUUCCGCGUGUAGCAGUGAAAUGCGUAGAUAUGCGGAGGAACACCGAUGGCGAAGGCAGCCCCCUGGGCCAACACUGACGCUCAUGCACGAAAGCGUGGGGAGCAAACAGGAUUAGAUACCCCUGUAGUCCCUGUCUCUUAUAC